AGUUCACCGGAGCCGUCCGAAUCACGUCGGAGACUCCGAGAAGGCGACCGGAAAGCCCACGGCCCUUAUAUCAUUUCGGUUAAUCGCUAUCGUUCGUUCUCUUGGUUUCCUAAUCUUACUCGUGCGUUACUUACAAGAAAUCGCAACGCAACCAAUGUUGAGGAUUGAUGAUGCUAUAAAAACGGACUAGCAAAGAUGCCUAGAUACUCACAUAGACGUCUUAGGUCAAAUACGUUGUAUAAAUUUCAUAUUUGUUGUUGUAUUAUUUUCUUGUAUUUUUAAUGUAUUGUAACAUUUAUUCAUGAAUGAAAUCAAUUUAUCUUUAA